UACGUAGGGUGCAAGCGUUGUCCGGAAUUAUUGGGCGUAAAGAGCUCGUAGGCGGUUUGUUGCGUCGGCUGUGAAAUCCUGAGGCUCAACCUCGGGCGUGCGAUGGAUACUGCCGGGCUAGAGGAUGGUAGAGGCGAGUGGAAUUCCCGGUGUAGCGGUGAAAUGCGCAGAUAUCGGGAGGAACACCGGUGGCGAAGGCGGGUCUCUGGGC
rnacentral:rRNA from 1 species